rnacentral:rRNA from 1 species
AUUGAACGCUGGCGGCAGGCUUAACACAUGCAAGUCGAGCGAGCGGCGGACGGGUGAGUAAUGUCUGGGAAACUGCCUGAUGGAGGGGGAUAACUACUGGAAACGGUCGCUAAUACCGCAUACCAUCAGAUGUGCCCAGAUGGGAUUAGCUCGUAGGUGGGGUAAUGGCUCACCUAGGCGACGAUCCCUAGCUGGUCUGAGAGGAUGACCGGCCGCACUGGCACUGAGACACGGUCCAGACUCCUACGGGAGGCAGCAGUGGGGAAUAUUGCACAAUGGGCGCAAGCCUGAUGCAGCCAUGCCGCGUGUGUGAAGACGGCCUUCGGGUUGUAAAGCACUGUCGGCGAGGAGGCGUUACUCGCAGAGUAAGCACCGGCUAACUCCGUGCCAGCAGCCGCGGUAAUUC